AACGAACGCUGGCGGCAUGCCUAACACAUGCAAGUCGAACGAGACCUUCGGGUCUAGUGGCGCACGGGUGCGUAACGCGUGGGAACCUGCCUUUAGGUUCGGAAUAACUCAGAGAAAUUUGAGCUAAUACCGGAUGAUGUCUUCGGACCAAAGAUUUAUCGCCUUUAGAUGGGCCCGCGUUGGAUUAGCUAGUUGGUGGGGUAAAGGCCUACCAAGGCGACGAUCCAUAGCUGGUCUGAGAGGAUGAUCAGCCACACUGGGACUGAGACACGGCCCAGACUCCUACGGGAGGCAGCAGUGGGGAAUAUUGGACAAUGGGCGAAAGCCUGAUCCAGCAAUGCCGCGUGAGUGAUGAAGGCCUUAGGGUUGUAAAGCUCUUUUACCCGAGAUGAUAAUGACAGGAUCGGGAGAAUAAGCUCCGGCUAACUCCGU
rnacentral:rRNA from 1 species